rnacentral:piRNA from 1 species
UGAUUGUUUGGUCAAGUUUGC